rnacentral:rRNA from 1 species
UGCGAGGGGGGCAAAUGUUGUUCGGAAUCACUGGGCGUAAAGGGAGCGUAGGCGGGUUCUUAAGUUAGGUGUUUAAUCCCGGGGCCCAACCCCGGACCGGCACUUAAAACUGGGAAUCUUGAAUAGUGGAGAGGUCGGUGGAAUUGGAGGUGUAGCGGUGGAAUGCGUAGAGAUCUCCAAGAACACCAGUUGCGAAGGCGGCCGACUGGACACAUAUUGACGCUGAGGCUCGAAAGCAUGGGGAGCAAACAGG